AGCUAGUGUGGCAUAGUGGUUUGAGUGUUGGACUAGGACUCUAGAGAUCAAGGUUCAAUUCCCAGCUUGGCCA
rnacentral:tRNA from 1 species